rnacentral:rRNA from 1 species
CACGGGGGUUGGAGGGCAAGUCUGGUGCCAGCAGCCGCGGUAAUUCCAGCUCCAAUAGCGUAUAUUAAAGUUGUUGCAGUUAAAAAGCUCGUAGUUGAAUUUCGGGAUCAGUAGGUCGGUCAUGCCUAUGGUAUGUACUGGCUUUACUGGUUCCUCCUUCUUGAUGAUCUGUAAUGUCAUUAAUUUGGUGUUGCAGGGAGUCAGGACUGUUACUUUGAAAAAAUUAGAGUGUUUAAAGCAGGCAUACGCUUGAAUACAUUAGCAUGGAAUAAUGAAAUAGGACGUUCGAUCCUAUUUUGUUGGUUUCUAGGAUUGACGUAAUGAUUAAUAGGGAUAGUUGGGGGCAUUAGUAUUCAAUUGUCAGAGGUGAAAUUCUUGGAUUUAUUGAAGACUAA